rnacentral:rRNA from 1 species
GAUGAACGCUGACAGAAUGCUUAACACAUGCAAGUCAACUUGAACUUCGGUUUGGGUGGCGGACGGGUGAGUAACGCGUAAAGAACUUGCCUCACAGCUAGGGACAACAUUUGGAAACGAAUGCUAAUACCUGAUAUUAUGAUUAUAUGGCAUCGUAUAAUUAUGAAAGCUAUAUGCGCUGUGAGAGAGCUUUGCGUCCCAUUAGCUAGUUGGAGAGGUAACAGCUCACCAAGGCGAUGAUGGGUAGCCGGCCUGAGAGGGUGAUCGGCCACAAGGGGACUGAGACACGGCCCUUACUCCUACGGGAGGCAGCAGUGGGGAAUAUUGGACAAUGGACCGAGAGUCUGAUCCAGCAAUUCUGUGUGCACGAUGAAGUUUUUCGGAAUGUAAAGUGCUUUCAGUUGGGAAGAAAAAAAUGACGGUACCAACAGAAGAAGUGAUGGCUAAAUACGUG